AGUUUGUUGGUGAGGUAAUGGCUCACCAAGACGACGACGGGUAGCCGGCCUGAGAGGGCGACCGGCNACACUGGGACUGAGACACGGCCCAGACUCCUACGGGAGGCAGCAGUGGGGAAUAUUGCACAAUGGGGGAAACCCUGAUGCAGCGACGCAGCGUGCGGGAUGACGGCCUUCGGGUUGUAAACCGCUUUCAGCAGGGAAGAAGCCUUUCGGGGUGACGGUACCUGCAGAAGAAGUACCGGCUAACUACGUGCCAGCAGCCGCGGUAAUACGUAGGGUACAAGCGUUGUCCGGAAUUAUUGGGCGUAAAGAGCUCGUAGGUGGUUGGUCACGUCUGCUGUGGAAACGCAACGCUUAACGUUGCGCGUGCAGUGGGUACGGGCUGACUAGAGUGCAGUAGGGGAGUCUGGAAUUCCUGGUGUAGCGGUGAAAUGCGCAGAUAUCAGGAGGAACACCGGUGGCGAAGGCGGGACUCUGGGCUGUAACUGACACUGAGGAGCGAAAGCAUGGGGAGCGUACAGGAUUAGAUACCCUGGUAGUCCAUGCCGUAAACGUUGGGCACUAGGUGUGGGGGACAUUCCACGUUCUCCGCGCCGUAGCUAACGCAUUAAGUGCCCCGCCUGGGGAGUACGGUCGCAAGGCUAAAACUCAAAGGAAUUGACGGGGGCCCGCACAAGCGGCGGAGCAUGCGGAUUAAUUCGAUGCAACGCGAAGAACCUUACCAAGGCUUGACAUACACCAGACCGUUCUGGAAACAGUUCCUCCCCUUUGGGGUUGGUGUACAGGUGGUGCAUGGUUGUCGUCAGCUCGUGUCGUGAGAUGUUGGGUUAAGUCCCGCAACGAGCGCAACCCUCGUUCUAUGUUGUCAGCACGUAAUGGUGGGAACUCAUAGGAGACUGCCGGGGUCAACUCGGAGGAAGGUGGGGAUGACGUCAAAUCAUCAUGCCCUUUAUGUCUUGGGCUUCACGCAUGCUACAAUGGCUGGUACAGAGAGAUGCGAGACCGCGAGGUUUUAGCGAAUCCCUUAAAGCCAGUCUCAGUUCGGAUCGUAGUCUGCAAUUCGACUACGUGAAGUCGGAGUCGCUAGUAAUCGCAGAUCAG
rnacentral:rRNA from 1 species